rnacentral:rRNA from 1 species
GAUGAACGCUGGCGGCGUGCCUAAUACAUGCAAGUCGAGCGAACGGACGAGAAGCUUGCUUCUCUGAUGUUAGCGGCGGACGGGUGAGUAACACGUGGAUAACCUACCUAUAAGACUGGGAUAACUUCGGGAAACCGGAGCUAAUACCGGAUAAUAUUUUGAACCGCAUGGUUCAAAAGUGAAAGACGGUCUUGCUGUCACUUAUAGAUGGAUCCGCGCUGCAUUAGCUAGUUGGUAAGGUAACGGCUUACCAAGGCAACGAUGCAUAGCCGACCUGAGAGGGUGAUCGGCCACACUGGAACUGAGACACGGUCCAGACUCCUACGGGAGGCAGCAGUAGGGAAUCUUCCGCAAUGGGCGAAAGCCUGACGGAGCAACGCCGCGUGAGUGAUGAAGGUCUUCGGAUCGUAAAACUCUGUUAUUAGGGAAGAACAUAUGUGUAAGUAACUGUGCACAUCUUGACGGUACCUAAUCAGAAAGCCACGGCUAACUACGUGCCAGCAGCCGCGGUAAUACGUAGGUGGCAAGCGUUAUCCGGAAUUAUUGGGCGUAAAGCGCGCGUAGGCGGUUUUUUAAGUCUGAUGUGAAAGCCCACGGCUCAACCGUGGAGGGUCAUUGGAAACUGGAAAACUUGAGUGCAGAAGAGGAAAGUGGAAUUCCAUGUGUAGCGGUGAAAUACGCAGAGAUAUGGAGGAACACCAGUGGCGAAGGCGACUUUCUGGUCUGUAACUGACGCUGAUGUGCGAAAGCGUGGGGAUCAAACAGGAUUAGAUACCCUGGUAGUCCACGCCGUAAACGAUGAGUGCUAAGUGUUAGGGGGUUUCCGCCCCUUAGUGCUGCAGCUAACGCAUUAAGCACUCCGCCUGGGGAGUACGACCGCAAGGUUGAAACUCAAAGGAAUUGACGGGGACCCGCACAAGCGGUGGAGCAUGUGGUUUAAUUCGAAGCAACGCGAAGAACCUUACCAAAUCUUGACAUCCUUUGACAACUCUAGAGAUAGAGCCUUCCCCUUCGGGGGACAAAGUGACAGGUGGUGCAUGGUUGUCGUCAGCUCGUGUCGUGAGAUGUUGGGUUAAGUCCCGCAACGAGCGCAACCCUUAAGCUUAGUUGCCAUCAUUAAGUUGGGCACUCUAAGUUGACUGCCGGUGACAAACCGGAGGAAGGUGGGGAUGACGUCAAAUCAUCAUGCCCCUUAUGAUUUGGGCUACACACGUGCUACAAUGGACAAUACAAAGGGCAGCGAAACCGCGAGGUCAAGCAAAUCCCAUAAAGUCGUUCUCAGUUCGGAUUGUAGUCUGCAACUCGACUACAUGAAGCUGGAAUCGCUAGUAAUCGUAGAUCAGCAUGCUACGGUGAAUACGUUCCCGGGUCU